rnacentral:lncRNA from 1 species
CUGUUUUCUUUUUUGUUGAGUUGGCAUCUUUUUAAUAUUAAUUUUUACAAGUGGAGGGUGUAAAAGAGAGGGAUGGCACAUGAGGUUGUUCACGUAUCACUUCUGUAUAAAAAACUGUAAAGUACAAAAUUACUGCAAAACCUACAUUACAUCACUUUAACACAAAAUUUUUCCCUGACUUAUACAUCGAACAUAUCAUGGUGGUAACAUAACCUAAGUAAAAAUAAAUACCCACAAGAAUACAAUAAACCAUUACAAUACAGCAAACUAAACAUAAAAUCCAAAUAAAAGGACAGCAAAGCACCAAUGAAGCUGACAAAGGAGAGACAACACUAGAAGGUGAAAGUCAUAUAAUUAAGCCUCAGACUAGCAUCAAACUCCUUCUAAAAAUGAGCAACCUGCAAAAUUGAUAUUAGGCAGGAAAGUCAGCUCACAUACAAACAACAAUCAAGUGGAUCUUUUAAACAAAACCACUAGAAAAGCUAGUAAAACAAAACACUUAAAUAAACACAACCAUAUUUAAGACAAAUAUGAACAACCAAAUUUAACAUGUAUUAAAUCAAGUUGCUUGGGCUCCAGUGGCAAGGAACUCCUUCCAAGGACGUAUUCGGGGAAUAUCGGAUUCGAUUCUCUGGGGAACAACACUUAACCAGUGCACAUGACUCUACACACGAGCUAGAUUAGUCUUUGAUGGAUCGGAAACCAGUGCAAAAGAAAAAAAAAAUUAACAUGUAUUACUUCAUUAUUUUCUACAAGCAAAUCACUGAAAAAUUUUGUUGUGACUUAAGGCCUACUUAAAAUAAAUGUUUUUUUAUAACUAUAUAUCUUAGGCAUACAAAAGAGAAAAAUUAUACAGUACACUAAUUAUAACUUUUUCACAUUUUAUUACUUUCAAGUUGUUACUCUCUAAAUAAAUCAUAAAUAGCGUUGUUUAAGCAUACAAUACAUACAGAGGAAACUUAUUAAAAAAAAAUACAUAUAGAGGAAAAAAUAUCGUUAAUAAAUUAGUUAAUUUUUUUCAUGAUGCAUUAGAGAACUAGGAAUGAUCUGAAUGUUAAUUAGUCAAGGAUUUAUGAUACAAUUGACUCUGAUGAUUUUUUAAUUGUAUGCUUUAGACAUAAUAGAUAAAUAAAUUUUACCUUAUUCGCGAACUCUAUAACAAGACCCUCUAAUGCACUUCAUUUUUUUUUCCGCCGGCAAUCGAUAUUUUUUAUAACAAUCAAGUUCAGUGACACACUCUGUUGUAAGCCCUUAAAAAGAAAACAUACUUCAUUGUAAUGUAAAAUAAGAAUAAAUAAAUAAAUACUAAUAAUAAGGAGUGUGUAAUUUUAUAUGUGAUGAAGAAAAAAAUUAGAAUGAACUCACCCCAACUCCAACUGUCAACUACAACAAUAAACAUGAAAACAAGAAGGAUCAUUGCAUAAAUAAAAUUGUGAAUUUCAACCAUUUUUUCCCUUCACAUUUUCAUAUAAUGAAUACAAAUUUGUUUGGUUACUUUAUAU